GCUAGCUCAGUCGGUAAAGCAUGAGACUCUCAAUCUCAGGGUCUUGGGUUUGUGUCCCACGCA
rnacentral:tRNA from 1 species